rnacentral:rRNA from 1 species
UACGGGGGGGGCAAGCGUUGUUCGGAAUUACUGGGCGUAAAGGGCUCGUAGGUGGCCAACUAAGUCAGACGUGAAAUCCCUCAGCUUAACUGGGGAACUGCGUCUGAUACUGGAUGGCUUGAGUUUGGGAGAGGGAUGCGGAAUUCCAGGUGUAGCGGUGAAAUGCGUAGAUAUCUGGAGGAACACCAAUGGCGAAGGCAGCUCUCUGGGACGGUACUGACGCUGAGACGCGAAAGCGUGGGGAGCGAACAGG